ensembl:lncRNA
CAUAUAUUGUGGGAGUGGGUCUGGUAAGACUUCUAUUUUUAGUUCUAAUCUUGUUAAUUUAGGAUGUAUGUUGUAGGGGUGGGUCUGGUAAAAGUAUAUACGGCCUUGAUAAGACUAGUGAGUGGGGGCUUUCUCCAUCCCCCUUCUGAUGUCUAUGUCAGAAACCUUCUCUGUCCCUUUUCAGACUUUAAUAAAACUCUGCUACACAAAAGCUCUUGAGUGAUCAAGNNNNNNNNNNNNNNNNNNNNNNNNNNNNNNNNNNNNNNNNNNNNNNNNNNNNNNNNNNNNNNNNNNNNNCACAACUAUCCUCCAAUUGAAAAAAAAACCAAAAUCAUAGCCAAGGGAUAUUGAGACUUACCUGGUGGUCCAGUGAUUAGGACUCUUGAGUUUCCACCAUAGGGGGCGCAGGUCAGGGAACUAAGCUCUUGUAUGCCUUGUGAAGCUGCCAAAAAUUUUUAAAAUAAGAAAGUAGAAAAAAAAAAUCAUGGCCAAGUUUUGUUUAUCUCAGGAAAGGGAGAAUGAUUUUGCAUUACAUCUCCUAAUACAAUUUGCCAUGUUAACAUACAAAAGUAAAAUAUAUCAUCUCCUCUCAAAAGAUUCAGAAAAGAUACACAAUAUAGGUCAAAGUCCAUUAUGUCAAAAUUUCUUUUUCUAUUUUUUAAAAUAGCUUUAAUAGCACAAAAUGUUUGUUGCUACAAGUUAUACAUGGACUGUAAACUGUAUAUAAUGAUACAAAGUGCUAACUAAAUAGAUGAGGAAUGCAUAAUCACUUUGGCUCAGUUAAGUCUGAUAAUUUCAACAACUGGUUCACUUGAAGAUUCAUCUGACUGGCUAAAUCUUCAGUUUUCAUUGUUUAGAAUAGUCAAUGUUUUUACUGCAAUCAGCAUAACUUGCUGCACUUGUCAAUGUGCAAGUUUGUGCAGUUUUGCUCUUGAUUAUAUUUACAAAUAUCUUACGCCAGUUUUCAUCAAACAUAGGAAAAGGAAGCCUGCCUUUUUGUCCCCAAAUUGUGAACAGGCAUAAAGCUUUUUAAACGUUGAUCUUAAAACAUGUCAACUGUUCAUUGUCCAAUUCUCCUUUCCAAUCACACAAUCUGGCUCCAGUCAAAACAAAUCUGGGGAGGAGCAUAAACAUUUAUCCCACACGUUAAGGUUAUUGAUAAAUACUGCAUGAUUUCAUCCUAUGAUUAAGUUCUACUGUGAUCGUGUAUUCAUGUUCUAAGUAAUAGUCCAAAAUUUCACAGCUAUUUGAAGAAAAGGGGCAGAACUACAUUUAUUUUCAAUGUUGGAAAACAAACAAACAAAAAAACCCCACGAAUGUACUCAAUCACACUCCUUAUAGGAUUACUACUGAAUUUCAAAAGAGAGUCCUGUGUUGUCUCUAUAAACUUGCUUUUCUCUAAUUUUACUUUUCCCUCCCAUGAUACUCAAUGUAAUACAAACUGUGUUAUCGGAACAGUUUAGCUCUUUAGUUUGCUUAAGUUUACCAGCCUUUCCAAUUUUAUUCAAGGCUUUUCGAAGUCCAACGAGCCAGCAGAUGUACUUUCUUCCCAAAGAAAAAUGAAGA